rnacentral:rRNA from 1 species
GAUUGAACGCUGGCGGCAGGCCUAACACAUGCAAGUCGAGCGGAUGAAGGGAGCUUGCUCCUGGAUUCAGCGGCGGACGGGUGAGUAAUGCCUAGGAAUCUGCCUGGUAGUGGGGGAUAACGUCCGGAAACGGGCGCUAAUACCGCAUACGUCCUGAGGGAGAAAGUGGGGGAUCUUCGGACCUCACGCUAUCAGAUGAGCCUAGGUCGGAUUAGCUAGUUGGUGGGGUAAAGGCCUACCAAGGCGACGAUCCGUAACUGGUCUGAGAGGAUGAUCAGUCACACUGGAACUGAGGCACGGUCCAGACUCCUACGGGAGGCAGCAGUGGGGAAUAUUGGACAAAGGGCGAAAGCCUGAUCCAGCCAUGCCGCGUGUGUGAAGAAGGUCUUCGGAUUGUAAAGCACUUUAAGUUGGGAGGAAGGGCAGUAAGUUAAUACCUUGCUGUUUUGACGUUACCAACAGAAUAAGCACCGGCUAACUUCGUG